rnacentral:rRNA from 1 species
AUUGAACGCUGGCGGCAGGCCUAACACAUGCAAGUCGAGCGAGCGGCGGACGGGUGAGUAAUGUCUGGGAAACUGCCUGAUGGAGGGGGAUAACUACUGGAAAAGGUAGCUAAUACCGCAUACCAUCAGAUGUGCCCAGAUGGGAUUAGCUAGUAGGUGGGGGAACGGCUUACAUAGGCGACACUCCCUAGCGGGUCUGCGAGGAUGACCAGCCACACUGGAACGGAGACACGGUCCAGACUCCUACGGGAGGCAGCAGUGGGGAAUAUUGCACAAUGGGCGCAAGCCUGAUGCAGCCAUGCGGCGGGUAUGAAGAAGGCCUUCGGGUUUUAAAGUACUUUCAGCGGGGAGGCGUUACCCGCAGAAGAAGCACCGGCUAACUCCGUGCCAGCAGCCGCGGUAAUAC